rnacentral:rRNA from 1 species
CACGGGGGGAGCAAGCGUUGUUCGGAAUCACUGGGCGUAAAGGGCGUGUAGGCGGUCAGGUAAGUGAGAUGUGAAAUGCUCCGGCUCACCCGGAGACCGGCAUCUCAUACUGCUUGGCUUGAGUUCGGGAGAGGAUGUGGGAAUUCCUGGUGUAGCGGUGAAAUGCGUAGAUAUCAGGAGGAACACCGGUGGCGAAGGCGCACAUCUGGCCCGAUACUGACGCUGAGGCGCGAAAGCUAGGGGAGCAAACGGG